rnacentral:rRNA from 1 species
AUUGAACGCUAGCGGGAUGCCUUACACAUGCAAGUCGAACGGAGUGGCGAACGGGCGAGUAAUGUACCGGAACGUGCCCAGUAGCGGGGGAUAAAUACGCGAAAGCGUAGCUAAUAUCACAUACUACUUGAGCGGCCUAUGCCGGAUUUGCUAGCUGGUUGGGUAACGGCUCACCAAGGCGACGUUCCGUAGCAGGUUUGAGAGGACGACCAGCCACCCGGGGACUGAGACACGGCCCAGACUCCUAAGGGAGGCAGCAGUGGGGAAUUUUGGACAAUGGGGGAAACCCGGAUCCAGCCAUCCCGCGUGAGCGAUGAAGGCCUUCGGGUCGUAAAGCACUGUUAGCAGGAAAGCGGUACCUGCAGAGUAAGCACCGGCUAACUACGUGCCAGCAGCCGCGGUAAUUC